AAGGGAGCUUGCUCCCGGAUGUUAGCGGCGGACGGGUGAGUAACACGUGGGUAACCUGCCUGUAAGACUGGGAUAACUCCGGGAAACCGGAGCUAAUACCGGAUAGUUCCUUGAACCGCAUGGUUCAAGGAUGAAAGACGGUUUCGGCUGUCACUUACAGAUGGACCCGCGGCGCAUUAGCUAGUUGGUGGGGUAAUGGCUCACCAAGGCGACGAUGCGUACCCGACCUGAGAGGGUGAUCGGCCACACUGGGACUGAGACACGGCCCAGACUCCUACGGGAGGCAGCAGUAGGGAAUCUUCCGCAAUGGACGAAAGUCUGACGGAGCAACGCCGCGUGAGUGAUGAAGGUUUUCGGAUCGUAAAGCUCUGUUGUUAGGGAAAAACAAGUGCGAGAGUAACUGCUCGCACCUUGACGGUACCUAACCAGAAAGCCACGGCUAACUACGUGCCAGCAGCCGCGGUAAUACGUAGGUGGCAAGCGUUGUCCGGAAUUAUUGGGCGUAAAGGGCUCGCAGGCGGUUUCUUAAGUCUGAUGUGAAAGCCCCCGGCUCAACCGGGGAGGGUCAUUGGAAACUGGGAAACUUGAGUGCAGAAGAGGAGAGUGGAAUUCCACGUGUAGCGGUGAAAUGCGUAGAGAUGUGGAGGAACACCAGUGGCGAAGGCGACUCUCUGGUCUGUAACUGACGCUGAGGAGCGAAAGCGUGGGGAGCGAACAGGAUUAUAUACCCGUGGUAGUCCACGCCGUAAACGAUGAGUGCUAAGUGUUAGGGGGUUUCCGCCCCUUAGUG
rnacentral:rRNA from 1 species